UAAAAAAUUGGACUCCAUUGGUGAGUUCAUUAAUAAUCCUACCUUUGUGAAUUUGUUUGUUUGAAUAAUUUUUCUUCCAAAAAAAAUUAUUGAAUGUCUUUCCCUGUUUUGGUGGAGCUUGUAAAGUGAAACCAGGCAGGGGAAGUGGCAAACAAUAAUUAUUUUUGAAAAAGACCUUUUUUAAAAUUAAACUUUUGUAUUCAUUGUCUAAAAUUAUUUUUAUAAUAUAAAAACAACUUUUGACAAUGGAUCUCUUGGUUCUCGCAACGAUGAAGAACGCAGCAAAAUGCGAUAAGUAGUGUGUAAUUGCAGAAUACGUGAAUCAUCGAAUCUUCGAACGCAUAUUGCACUUUUUUAGUUUACUAAAAAAGUAUGUCUGUUUGAGUAUCAGUAAAAUAUUCUCAUAAAAAAAUUUAUUUUUUAUGGUUAUGAGUGUUUUACAACGAUAACAAGUUGUUUCACUUUAAAUUCUUUGUUAUCAAAAAAAUCAUUAAAAGCUAAUUUUAAAGAUUUUUUUAAAAUUGGAUAAAAUUUUCCCGUAAAAAGGAAUAACCUAAACAAUUUUAAAAAAUUAAAAUUGGUUUGAUUUUUCUUGAUUUAAAAAGGAAAAAAAGUAAAAAUUAACUUGAUCUCAAAUCAGAUAAGAGUACCCGCUGAACUUAAGCAUAUCAAUAAGCGGAGGAAAAGAAACUAACUAGGAUUCCCUCAGUAACGGCGAGUGAAGCGGGAAGAGCUCAAAUUUGAAAUCUUCAAGGUUUUACCUUGACGAAUUGUAGUUUAAAGAAGUGUUUUCUGUUGGAGUUUUGGUAAAAGUUCUUUGGAAAAGGAUAUCAUAGAGGGUGAGAAUCCCGUAUUUGACCAUUAUCUCCAGCUUUGUGAUACACUUUCAAAGAGUCGGAUUGUUUGGGAAUGCAGUCCAAAAUGGGUGGUAAAUUUCAUCUAAAGCUAAAUACUGGCGAGAGACCGAUAGCGAACAAGUACCGUGAGGGAAAGAUGAAAAGAACUUUGAAAAGAGAGUUAAACAGUACGUGAAAUUGUCAAAAGGGAAGCGUUUGACACCAGUGUUGUUUUCUCGAAAAUCAAUUAAAAAAGGCCGGAUUUUGUGUUGUAUUGACUUUAUCAGCUUUCUGCACUUUUUUCUUGUCUUUUUUGAUGCACUUUUCGUUUAACAAGUCAACAUCAAUUUCUUUUGUUGUAAAAGGGUCAUUGGAAGGUGGCUUUCUUUUCGGAGAAAGUGUUUUAUAGCCUUUGGCCUCUGCAAUCGGAGAGAUUGAGGUCUGCAGCGUAGAUCCUUCGGGUUAGAUACAUUUGUGCUAAGUUAUAGCCUUUCAUAGACAACUUGUUGACUAUGAUCAGUCAUGUAGCUUACUCGCUUAUGCUAUUUUACCUACGCUUAGGAUGUUG
rnacentral:misc_RNA from 1 species